rnacentral:rRNA from 1 species
GCAGCCGCCGCGGUAAUACGGAGGGUGCAAGCGUUAAUCGGAAUUACUGGGCGUAAAGCGCACGCAGGCGGUCUGUCAAGUCAGAUGUGAAAUCCCCGGGCUUAACCUGGGAACUGCAUUUGAAACUGGCAGGCUAGAGUCUUGUAGAGGGGGGUAGAAUUCCAGGUGUAGCGGUGAAAUGCGUAGAGAUCUGGAGGAAUACCGGUGGCGAAGGCGGCCCCCUGGACAAAGACUGACGCUCAGGUGCGAAAGCGUGGGGAGCAAACAGGAUUAGAUACCUCCGUAGUCCCUGUCUCUUAUAC